CUGCGGCGUUUUUAAUAGAGAGAGGGUGUGCACUGUCCGAGUCUACAUGAUGCAGUCCAGAACAGAGGGUGGUCACUUUGACAGUGCUGCUAUCCAGAAGCAAGCAAAGGUUCUGGUUUCUGGAGGCUUCCAGAUGCAGCUAGAAAUUACCUUGAAGAGGGUGAACAAAGCUGAAGAUGAAGACUUCACAGUUUUGUUGGUUAAACCCAGCCCUCCAGUAAAUCCAUAUGGUGCCUGAUGCCUUGGAAGCUGAUGGACAAUUGCAUUGACCAAGAACUAACAGGAGAUACUUGUAUGCCCUCUGCCAAGAAACAAAAGGGUUCAGUGCUAAUCCUGUAAUCCUCCAUUUUGCUGCUUGAUGGUGAGCUUAGUGUGUAAUGAAGUUCAUAUGGCUGCACUGUCUUGACUCCGAUACUGUACUACCAAAGGUUGCUCCAGGCUUGUAGUUCUGUGCAAACAGAUACUGUUGUGUAAACUUAGUACUUGGAUGAAGAUUCUAUUGAAUGGAAAGUUACUUUAAGCCUUAAAGGUAUGUCUCCAGUCGUUCCACUGGGUGCAACAGUCCUGAUGAACUGGUUGCAGUGCAGUCUUCAAACCUUGAAGCACUUUGUUUUGUACAUGAACUAUUUGCAAUAAAGAUUCCAAUACA